AGUUGGGGAAGAAGCUGGGGAUGAGGAUGUGAAAAAUAUGAAUGAUGACAGCAACAAGGAUAGUGAGAAUAGUGAUGGAGAUUCAGAGGACAAUGAGUUUGUAGACUCUGAUUAUGAUUUGGGGGAUGAAGAUGCUGAUGAUGAUGCCAUGUUUGAUGAGUUUGUUGAUAAGGAGCUUGAGAGGGACAAAUCUUCUGGUUCAAGUAGUGCUAGGCAACCUGAUGAGGAGUUGUCU
rnacentral:lncRNA from 1 species